GACCCGUUGGCGCACUCGGCAGCGCACCCACAAUAAUUUAAGGUUUCUCGAUCCAGUUAUGUGGGAGGCCCCAGUUCGACUCUGGGACAGGUCA